rnacentral:tRNA from 1 species
GGCGGAGAGCCAACUAACGUGGCUC